rnacentral:rRNA from 1 species
UACGUAGGGGGCAAGCGUUAUUCGGAAUCACUGGGCGUAAAGGGAGCGUAGGUGGAUCUAUAAGUUAGAAGUUUAAUUCGCAGGCUUAACCUGCGUGUGGCUUCUAAUACUGUAGGUCUUGAGUAUGAAAGAGGGAGAUGGAAUUCCAGGUGUAGCGGUGGAAUGCGUAGAUAUCUGGAAGAACACCAGCAGCGAAGGCGGUCUCCUGGUUCAAUACUGACACUGAGGCUCGAAAGUUAGGGGAG